UAGUUUUUGAGAAAAUUGAAAAAUUAUUUUAUCAGAUUUUUCUUUUUUCAAAAUAUUUUUUGUUUUUAUUUGUUUUUAUUUUUCAAUUUUCUCAUAAACUAGAAGACACAGAAACAUAUAGUUUUCUCUGUUCUUUAAGGAAUCAAUUGAGGCAGUUUUCUGUGUGAGUAAUUUUUUUACUAAAAUUCACAGUCUGGACAAAAAUAGUAUAAAAUGAGUUUAAAAAAAUUUUUUUUUUGAAUUUUCUCAAUUAUCAAAUCCUGGCGCCCAAGUUAUCUACGUGCCAAAACAACAUUUUUGUUCUAUACCUAAAAGUUCGAAUUUCUGUAUCUGGGUUGAAAUCGAAAAAUUUUUUUUUCUAAGCCAAUUUUGAAGUGAUUUUCAUAAAAAAUACCUCGAUUGAUUCAGAAAUAGAAAUAGUUUUAGAAUAUAUUUUUUAAAUAGCAUGUUGUUUUGAAAACAUAUACUUUAAAUUGAUGCCGUAGUUGGGCAAAUGACGAAAAAAAUGGAAUUUUUAAACUUUGAUAGCUUAUUAGUUCUAAGUGGUUUAACCGAGUUACAUGUUUAUACAUUGUUGAAAAGGUAUAUUUAUAUUCUAUCAGAAACUGUAAAAAAAUCGAAAAUGGGUAAAAAAUUGUCGAAGCUAGAAUUUUUUCAAUGGGUGAAGGUCCAAAAAACCGUUUUUUGCCCGUAACUCCAGAUUUUGGGGGUGUUAGGGGAUUUUCAAAUACCGUUUCGUAUUCAGUACGACUAACUCUACAAAACCUGAUAGGUCUCCGCCCGCGUAUAUUUUGAGUGUUACACCGUGAUAAUUAACAUGAACAUAGUUAUUUUUAAUUAAACAACUGAGCUGUGCCCCAAAUACGUCAAAAACUAUUGAAAAGAGGGGCCAGCCUAACCAACUGAGCUGUGCCCCAAAUGCGUCAAAAAUUAUUGAAAAAAAAAUCUUAGUCACCAAAAAAUCAAAUUCCCCAAAGAAAAAUAUUUAUGAAGACAAAACUUUAAGGAAAAAACUAAAUUUGGAUAACAACGAGAAGCCCCAGAGAAAGGUAUAACGCUUAAAAAUAAAAGUAGGACUCCUUCUCGUAAAGGUAUUAAAAAUCGUAUUUCGAUUUUUAUUUUCACUUUUCUUCUACGCGAUUUAAAAUAAAAAAAAAAAAACAAAAAGUUUUUGUUGGCAUAGGUCGAUGAUAAUAUAAUAUAAUACACUAGCCCAAAAAAUUAAAGGAACAAAAAAAAAUCGUGAUUAUUUUAGUGAUUUUCGAUAGGCUGUAUCUCAGUAAAAAAUAAACGCAUCAUGAUAAAAUAAAAAGGAUGUGAAAGCUCUAUUCUUCUAGUUUUAGGAUUAAAUAUUAAAAUAUUUUUUUUCUAACGGUAAAAUAGCAAAAUUGUUGGAAAUGUUCAAAAACCAAAAUUUUCUAAUUUUUUUUUGCUUUUACUUCUCUCAUAGGGAAGUGGGAAAAUUUUUUCUGAUAAAAUGAUUAUUAUUUUUAGAAAGGUUUUUUAUUUGGCUUUAGAAUUCCUUUUGUUUCAAACUUCUACGAUUUUUUUUACACUGCAAUAUCAGUCAUCAAACCAAAAACCAUACUUUUGACUUUGACUAUCAAUAUCUCAACAACGGAUCAUUAAACAGAAAAUUUAAGGACACAUUAAAAACUUCAUUCAAUUCUCUACAAAGAAAUUAAGUUUUCUUUGUAAAAAAAAAUGUUUUCUUAUUUUUGAGAUUAAUUUAGGAAAGCUAUCAAAAUAGACAUUUUUACGGUUUCUUAGAAAAUGUACCGCUAUUUAAUUUCUAUGGGUGAAAAGAUUAAACUGAGGCUUAAUUAUUGAAGCUUAAUAUACCUGAAAUUAAUAUGCAAAGUUUCAGGCUAAUUCAUCAAGCAGUUUUUCUGUUGUGAAGGUUUGAACUUUUGAGAUGAAGUAAAACACCAUAUUUCUGAAGUUCGAAAUGACUUUUUCUUGUUACUUUUUUAUGAGCAAAAUCAAUUUUUUUUUGAGUUUAUUUGAACAUUUUAUUGAUAAAUAUCGUUUAAAUUUAAGAUAAACCAAAGAAAAUUAAAAAAUUCAAAAUUAGGAAAAAUAUCCAAAAAUGGUAUAAAAAGCUUUUUUUUUAAAAUUUAAGUUUUUUUGAAAACUUUUAAUUUUUCUUGGUUUAUCUUAAAUUUAAACGAUAUUUAUCAAUAAAAUGUUCAAAUAAACUCAAAAAAAAAUUGAUUUUGCUCAUAAAAAAGUAACAAGAAAAAGUCAUUUCGAACUUCAGAAAUAUGGUGUUUUACUUCAUCUCAAAAGUUCAAACCUUCACAACAGAAAAACUGCUUGAUGAAUUAGCCUGAAACUUUGCAUAUUAAUUUCAGGUAUAUUAAGCUUCAAUAAUUAAGCCUCAGUUUAAUCUUUUCACCCAUAGAAAUUAAAUAGCGGUACAUUUUCUAAAAAACCGUAAAAAUGUCUAUUUUGAUAGCUUUCCUAAAUUAAUCUCAAAAAUAAGAAAACAUUUUUUUUUACAAAGAAAACUUAAUUCUUUUGUAGAGAAUUGAAUGAAGUUUUUAAUGUGUCCUUAAAUUUUCUGUUUAAUGAUCCGUUGUUGAGAUAUUGAUAGUCAAAGUCAAAAGUAUGGUUUUUGGUUUGAUGACUGAUAUUGCAGUGUAAAAAAAAUCGUAGAAGUUUGAAACAAAAGGAAUUCUAAAGCCAAAUAAAAAACCUUUCUAAAAAUAAUAAUCAUUUUAUCAGAAAAAAUUUUCCCACUUCCCUAUGAGAGAAGUAAAAGCAAAAAAAAAUUAGAAAAUUUUGGUUUUUGAACAUUUCCAACAAUUUUGCUAUUUUACCGUUAGAAAAAAAAUAUUUUAAUAUUUAAUCCUAAAACUAGAAGAAUAGAGCUUUCACAUCCUUUUUAUUUUAUCAUGAUGCGUUUAUUUUUUACUGAGAUACAGCCUAUCGAAAAUCACUAAAAAAAUCACGAUUUUUUUUUGUUCCUUUAAUUUUUUGGGCUAGUGUAUUUCAAGGUUAUUUCGAUCCAACAAAACGUUUUUUGUUGGCGUAGGUCGCGGUAAAAAUAUUAUUUUUUUUUGCAUAAAUACUUUUUUUUUGUUGGGAAUCGUAUAAUAAUAUAAGGUUGGGUUAAUUAGCUCCAGUAUUUUCUGAUAGUUUUGUGGAUAGAACAGAAAGGUCUAAAGAUCAAUUGAUAGAAGAAAUCCUUCAAUUGGAAAAACGAUCCAAAGACCAAGGUGACGAAAUUCAGAAUUUCAAUUAGGUACCAUCUGUUAUGGGAACUAAAGGUGAUCACAAGUAGUUAGACAUAUUCACUCAUUUACUCACAGUUAAGUUUGCAGUGGGGUAAAUUUACGCGACUCGAAACUACCGACGUGGUUUGGAAUUAGAACAUUCCACGGAAUCAGAGGUUUUAAAAAACAAACUAAGAAAUAAAAAAGUCUGGUUGCAAAUUCCCGAGAAUUUAAAAACGGUUGAAAAAGAAGAUAAUCCCGUCAUGUCAAACGAAAAAAUUGUUAAAAUUGUUGCCCAACUGGUCCCACAGUUCUCGGGGGCAAGAACGCCUAACUUGUCUUGCCAAGUUUAUGAGUUCCUAAAUGCUUGCGCUUUUGGUUGAAAUGUAUCGACGCAGAACACGAAACAAAAUACGUGUCAAUACUUUCAACAAGACUGAUUGGAGAUGCGUGUGAACUGGUAAGGUCAAAAAAACCUGGUACUUUAAAGGAAUUGGAAACCUUGAUAAAAGAAACAUAUCUAUCUGUCCGAACGCUAGAUAGUGUGACUUAUGAAAUAAAACAGUCUCACCAACUAGCGACAGAAGAUAUACACGCCUUUGCCAGACGUUUGACGGGCCUCCAAACAAAGGCGGUCGAUAGGUAUAAUAGACGCAUAUUACCAAACCGCGGAUUCCGUAGUUUUAAAGAAAGAACUAAAAAACUCCAUCAUUACCAGCUUCAAGAUGGUGCUGUUGGAUUCAGCUUUGCGUCAAUUCAUGCUGACCGUAAGCGGGGAAGAUAUGCGGACACUGGCAGACACGGUGACCAAAACAUCCCAGCUACUUCCUCCCCAAUAUAGCGGUAACCUCUCUUUCCAUAACACCCCUUUCCAAUACAAGUCCCAGCUUCCUAAACAAACUUUGACGUACGACCAAAUGUGCGUACCACAACAAUAGCAACAUCCACAGUUUCCAAAAAGCAACCCUUUCUGGACAUGGGACAUGUCCCAAAGCACAAACUUUGUCACGGAGGCUAAAUCACGAAAGGUAAGGCAUAAAUGUGAUUGGUGUUCCAGAAUAGGCCACUCGGAAGAUGAAUGCUACAGUAAAAGGAAUUACCUAGCAAAAAAGGGGAGGGAAACGGAAAAGGGGCCAGCCUAAACAACUGAGCUGUGCCCCAAAUACGUCAAAAACUAUUGAAAAAAGGGGCCAGCCUAAACAACUGAACUAUGAACCAAAUACGUCAAAAGCUAUUGAAAAAAAAUCUUUGUCACCAAAAAAUCUAAUUCCCCAAAGAAAAAUAUUUAUGAAGACAAAACUUUAACUAAAAAACUAAAUUUGGAUAACAACGAGAAGUCCCCAGACUAAGGUAUAACGCUUAAAAAUAAAACUAGGACUCCUUCUCGUAAAGAUAUUAAAAAUUGUAUUUCGAUUUUAAGUAGGAACAAAAUACCUCCAACUAUUUCUCUUAAAUGUUUUAAAAAUUGUAUUUUUCCGAAACCUUCCUUCACAAUUGGAAGAAAGGUAAAAAAAAAAACAAGUAAGGAGUCUGUUUUUUAACUUAUUUUUACUAGCAUACUUUUAUGUAAAUGAAUAUAUAAUACAGAUAUCCAAUAAAUGUAAAAGUAUCUUCAAAACAAAUAGAUUUUGUGACAUAAAGCGAAGUCGAUUUUGUCUAAUAAAUAAGUUAAAUAAAAAACAACGUUUUCGUAGAAUUACCUUUUCCUGAGGCAAAAGGAGGUAAAGUUACUGUACUCGUAGAUGCAGGUGCAGAUUUAAUCCUUUUAAAAAAUAGCGUUUUAAAUAAGAAAACCAAAUUUUGUUCAAUAGAAAUACGAAAGUUAGGUUGAGCAUUUGGUGGAAACAAUACAACUUUGGGUACAGUCCAAUCGUAUAAAAGUUUGGACAAUGUUUCCUUAAAAUGGCACAUUGUGGACGGUCUGACAGACAUACCCGCCGAUGGUAUCAUAGGCCGGGAUAUUCUUUAGAACCAUGCAAUAAUUGGCUCUGUUACCAAAACACUUGGCAAAAAUCCUUGUGUCAAACCCUCCUAGUGGGUGCCGGGCGGGAAUGAUCACCACAGUUUUUUAUCUUGUGCGUUUUUGGCAAGAUGAAGAUCAGCUAAGGUCAGGUUUGCAUAGCUGUGUUGUUCCUUAACUCCUCAAUAGUUAAACAACCACAAAUGCAAUUUUACCAUCGAUACAAGGUUCCCAAUUUUCAGUGGUGGGGUGAGCGUUGUCAUAAUCCGUGCCGAAGAAAUGGAAGGCUGGGGGAUAAGCCAGUCGAGAACGAGCUCUUUCGGAUGCCUUGGCAGGAUCCGUCAUAAUUUUUGCCUUUUCCCGGUAAUCGGCUCUGCCGGGGUUGACCUUUCCGACCUACUCGUGGGACUUCAAUUUAAAAAAUCAAAUUAAAAAUGGACAAAAAUGACUACAGACCUUACGACAUUCGAGAUGGAGGAUGUACUUCUGUCCUCGAGCCAGGAGACAAUCGAUGGUUGUUCAGAUGAUGCUGGAGGCACUAGCAUUUCUGAGCAACCUUCAAAAACUGGAAGUGCAGGCGGUGCCAGCGGUACCUCUGUAUUUCGACCCGAAUUAAACCCUAUAAAGCCUUUGGGUAGCAAAGCCAGCCAAAGCGAUGCUACCCGGCGUAAGAGAAGAUCAGCGAGUUCGCAUCGGAGAGCGGAUUUCAAUAGGGCAUCCUUCAUUCUUAGCAAGAUUGCUAUAAAUGAGGAAGCUGGAACUCCGCAGGAAAACGAUGCUGCUUAUAAGAUCAAAUAUGGGAAGAUUGUUGAGGAGUACAACAAUCUUCUCAUUGAGCCAAAAAAGUCCGUUAAGAGACUUAGAUCACCUGAGGAAGCUAAUCCUCCUCAGAAAAAGUCUAAAGCAAACGGCACCAACAAGAAAGCACCAUCUCAGGGAGCGGUGCAAUCGUGCACUUUAAGUGAGAUUGUCAGAGACGAUCUUCAAGUGGCGGUUGUAGAUGAGCUCUCCACUGACAACAGAGCUCUGAUGUCAGUGUGGAACUCCAUCGAGGCUUAGCUUUCUGAGAUGGUCUAACCUUCUGAGGAUCUACGAGGUCAUUCGUGGGGCUCUCGAAAAAGCCGAUUUCAAGCUACGUUUUGGUAUUAGGAAUGCCAAGAUAUAGAUUCUGCAGAGUCAGGAGAUGGACCCUAACCUAGUUGAGAAUACUAUCGAGGAUGACGAUGUCCUCAAAGAGGCAGAGUUCUCCGGCAAGGAGCUGGUAACUGACUGUAGAAUCUAUUCCAAAUUAAAAACAUGCUGCGCUUCAUUCAGGUUAAUCUGAAGCACUAAAUGUGCUUCAGAUAACCUAAGAGUUUUCCUGAGGGAGGAAAACUUUGAUGUGGGCAUUAUUCAAGAGCCCUGGGUUAAUGGCCUCCGAGUAAGGGGCCUUAAAGACAGCCAAUACGACCUUUUUUACAAGCCCGUCAGUUCAAACCAAGGUAAGCCAAGAACUUGUAUUUUAGCUAAAAAAACACUUAAAAGCUUUUUUGUGUCCUAAUCUAAGCACCUCUGAUUUGACCGUUGUCAAAUUGGAGGGUUCAAAUACUAAGGGUUUACUCUUGGCCUCUGCGUACAUGGCACACGACCAGCAGUCACCACCGGAGGAAGUACGCAGGCUGACAGCUCAAGCCAGUACCAUGAAGACAAGUCUACUCAUCGGGUGUGACGCAAAUGCACGUCAUACUCUGUGGGGUAGUUCUGAGAUCAAUGAACGAGGUGAGUCUUUAUUUGAUUAUAUCAUUGAAAUAACCUUCCUCUCUGCAAUAGAGGUACUACUCCAACCUUCACUUUCCCGAGUUCGGGAAAUUAUGAAGGAUGGAAGGAUGUACUAGACAUUACCAUUAUAAACAACUACUCCAAUCUGCAGGUAGAAAACUGGAGAGUAUCCCCUUUAAAAACCUUUUCAGAUCAUAGUUGGAUUCUCUUCCAACUCAAAUUUGAAACUAAAACCCCACCCUCUUAUAGAAAUCCAAAAAGAAUUGACUGGAAGAAUUUCGGUCAAGUUUUUAGUGCAAAACUACGCAGUAUACCCAAUCUGAGUACAGAUACGGUUGAAGAUCUUGAAUCAAAGGUUAUAACCUUUGAAAGAUCGAUGAUUACUGCCUUUAAAGUCUCGUGUCCGGUGAGACAUAGCAGCAAAACAUUUCCUCCUUGGUGGAAUGAAGACUUGUCUAAUCUGAGGAAAAUGACUAGAACAAUCUUCAACAUCUACCACAAAUACAAAUUUUAUCAACCCUAUAAAGAUUGCUUAAAAGUCUAUAAGCGUACUAUAGCUUUAGCCAAAAAAGAAAGCUGGGAGGAAUACUGUCAUUCCAUAGAAGAUAUUACCUAAGGAUUCCGCCAGGUUAAGCAAGGUUUUAUCGAAAGAACACUCUAAUCCCUCGUUUCUUAAAAAGCCUGACGGAUCCUGGACAAUAUCUCCAGCUUAAUCCUUGGAACUACUAAUGACUACUCACUCCGGGGUGCGUAGAUAGCACCUCUGAAGUGAACAUAAAUCCCAGCUUGCCUUGCUAUCAGUUACGACAGAGCGAGUAAACUCCUUGAUAACAAGAGAAAAUAUAGCUUCGGCUAUUAACACUUUCUCUCCGUAUAAAUCCCCAGGCCCUGAUGGUAACCUGCCUAUUAUGCUGCAAAAUCAGCAAGUGAUAGCAGUUCCAUGGCUUGAAAAAAUUUUAAAGGCUGCCUUCUUCUUAAUCAUGUUCCCAAGUCUUGGAGACAAGUUAGCGUGGUUUUCAUACCCAAAGUGGGCAAAAGAGGACAUGAAUCCGCGAAGGAUUUCCGGCUAAUAAGUUUAACAUCUUUCUUACUUAAAACCUUAGAGCGAAUCUUGGAAACUCAUAUUAGAGACAUUUUCAAAAGAUGUCCUUUAGCUAGUUCGCAGCACGCUUAUAUGAGGGGCAAAUCUAUGGAAACAACCCUCCAUGAAGUCGUUAGAACAAUUUAGAACUCGAUCCACUUUAAAGAAUAUACCCUAGCUACCUUCUUAGAUGUAGAGGGAGCUUUUAACAAUGUCCUAACCGAAUCUAUUCUCGAGGCCCUAGUGACUUUUUAAGUAGAAGACUACAUCAGAAGUUGGAUUAUUUCAAUGCUAAAAAAGAGAAGAAUUCAAGCAAGUUUAGGAAAUUCAAACUGUUUUAAGUGCGUCAACAGGGGUACGCCUCAGGGUGGCGUUCUUUCCCCCCUUGUAUGGCUCCUUCUCAUGAACAAUAUCCUCGUGAAGCUUGAGAGAAGUGGAGUGAAGGCAGUGGCAUAUGCGGAUGAUCUGGUUGUACUUGUAUCAGGAAAAUUUUUACCCGUGGUCAGCGAGAUCACUGACACGGCUUUGAGAAAAGUUAGCAACUGGGCUACAAGCUGUGGCCUAGGAGUUAAUCAAAGUAAAACGGAACUGAUGUUUUUACAACUAAAACCAAAAUCCCUGCCUUCCCUCUACCUCAGCUUAACGGCCAAAUCUUAUCACUUUCUUCUAGGGCAAAAUAUACUCAUCAAAACAAAAUAAGGGCCACCACUAAUAUUCAAAUUAUUUUGUGUUUUACAAAAGAAAUCCCGUUGAUGUUGAUUAAUAUCAAUAAAACAAUAAAUAUCUCAUUUAAUUUCAUAAAUUUGAAUGCUAUUAAGAAAACAACACUUUAAUUUGUAUUUAUUUUUCGGUUUUUAUCACUUAUUAAGCUUAAUUACACCUUGAAUAAAAUUUAAUUUUAAAGUCUUAACAAUGGUUAUGUUGCUCAACAUUGUUAGUUUAAUAAUGUGUAUGUCCUCCUCUUUUCAAAAUGCAUUCUUGGAGUCUUGAUGGCAUGCUCCGAAUCAGAUGGUGGAUGUUUUCAUCCGGAAUAUCCUCCCAGCACCUUUUCAGCAAUUGAAUCAGCUGUUUUUGAUUGUGUACAUCUUCUUCAGCUGCCCGGACUCGACGUUUUAAUUGGUCGCAAAGGUGUUCGAUGGGAUUUAGAUCAGGGCUGUAGGCAGGCCAAUAUCGGCUUCCUCCAGGGCAGUGAUAGUCUUCGGGCUGUGUGUGGUCGUGCAUUAUCCUGCAUAAGGAUGAAACCAUCCACCGUGCAAACGGGAUGAUAUACGGAUUGACAAUCCGUUGGAUGUAACUUAGAGAAGUCACAGUGCCUUCAUUAAGAAAAAUAAGGUCAGUUUUACCUUGUAAAACUGACUGACUAUAUAAGGACCACCAAAUCUGUCACUUUCAUCAAUGCAAGGAUCAGAAAAUCUUUCUCUUUACUUUACACUCAUCCGUGAAAAGCACCUUACGUCAUUCCUCCGCAUUCCAUUGAAGAUGUUGGCGUGCAAACCUUAAGCGAUUUGCACGAUGAGUCCGGGUUAGUUUGAUGCGCGUUACAGGUUUCCGCGAGCGUUGCUGAUCUUCGUGUAAACGAUUCCUAAUGGUCUGGUCACUAACAAGGGUACCACAGUAGUCCGGAGUAAUCGGUUUUGUAAUGCGCGCGGUCACAGUCCGAUCUCGUCGCGCACUAAGUCGCACAUACCGGUCCUCCUGAACAGCGGUAGACCGAAUUCUUCCCGAACCAGGAGGACGUGAUACACUCCCAGUCUCCUGAAAAGGUUUUGGAUAGCUCGUCGUGAACAUCCCAAUUGUAAGGGCACGAAACGUUGGGAAACAGUGUCCAAAUGACGUUGGGAUCUUGACAUUUUACACUUUAAUGAUUAAAUUACUCGUUAAACUUUUAAAAACAACCGAAUCAGUUAGAAGAAUUGCCUUAAAGUAAGCCAAAAUCAAUUAACAAAAAUUCAGCUUUUCACGAUUUCAGACGCAAUUAAUUUUAAACAUACGCGGAAGACAAAUAACACCUGAGACUUUAAUUUAACCGUUAAAUUAAUACUGGAGAACAAAAUGGCAUUCAUAAAAAAUUAAUAUCGGAAUGAUAUCUGGAAAAAAUAACGGAAAAAGCAAAAAUUUUCUCGUGGCCCUUAUUUUGUUGAGUAGCAUAUUAAGGUGUAAUUUUAGACACUAAACUGAGCGGGAAGCUAAAUAUAGAAGAGCGGGUUAAGAAGGCGAGCAUUGCUUUAAAACCUGCAGUAAAACCUUUGGGAAAAAAUGGGGUCUUAAAUCAAAAAUGAUUCUAUGGACUUACACAGCGGUGGUACGACCCAUUCUUACUUACGGCGCCAUUGUUUGGUGGCCUGCACUGAGUAAAGCAUAUAACAUCAACAAACUUAAAAAAAUCCAAAGAACAGCAAGUGUAGGGACGACUAGAGCCCUCCGGUCGUGCCCUACUGGGGCCCUAAACGUUCUCUUGCACCUUUUACCCAUAGACCUUCAUAUAAAAUAGCAGGUCUCGUGUAGCGUUUUAAGGCUAAAAGAAACAGGCUGUAGGAAGGCAAAACCUUUUGGUCACAGUGACACAGCAAAUUUAAUACCAUCGGAUAUGCUUCUGACACCCACGGACUACUGCACUCCUAUUUUGAAUACUGUAAUGAAUUGCAAGGUCAGCUUCCCGUCGAGAUCAGACUGGGAAGGGGGCAUUGUGACGAGAGACUUCGACACCUGCAUUUUCACUGAUGGCUCAUAAAUGGAUUGUGGGGUCGGUGCGGGUGUCUACUAUGAAUCCCUCAAUAUCUCAAAAUCCUUUCGACUACCAAAUUCUGCCAGUGUAUUCCAAGUGGAACUGCUGGCAAUUAAAGAAGCUUGCAAAUUACUUAGCCUAUAACCAAAUCAAAACCAACGCAUAGCUACACUAACAGAUAGGCAGCUAUAAAAGCAAUUGCUUCGGUCACGACAUCCUCCAAAUUAGUUCAGCAGUGCAGAGAGGAACUCUCAUUGCCUCACAAUCACUCUCAUCUGGAUCCCAGGUCACAGUGGUUUUGAAGGCAAUAAAAAGGCGGAUGAACUGGCCAGGCAAGGAUCGGCCCUUCAUGAGUCACUAGCAGAAAAAGUUAACAUCCCCAUGGGAGUCAUGAAGGGCGAUAUCUUCUUAAAAUACCUAACAAAAGCUAACAAUAGGUGGCACAACUUGACUAGCUGCGUCAUAUCCAGAAAAAUCUGGCCCACCUAUAAUAAAUUCAAAACAUAUGAUCUAAUCUAGACCUAGAAAAGAAAUUAGCAGGAUCGCUGCGGUAUGUACGGGACAUUGGGCGAUAAAAGAACACGCAGCAAAGCUAGGUAUUUCUUACAAUACCUUUUGUCGCAGUUGUUUGAAUCAGCAGGAAAAAAAAACGGUAUUCCACUUCCUAUGCCAAUGUGCUGCCCUUGCUAGAAGUAGAGUGCUCUCUCUGGGCAGUGAAGUUUUCAACGAUAUAAAUAACAUCUCACAAUUAAAGAUCAAAGACUUGAUCUCAUUCCUCAAUGCAACGAAGUGCUUUUAGGCUAGCCUAAACACUUGUUUGUAUUGAAAUCACAUUAUUUCAAUUAAUCCAUUUAUAACUCAUAUGUUUCACAAGUUUUGGUAUCAAAACGCAUUCUGCGCUAAUUGGGUCAUCAAGCUAGGCUGCUUAUGACCGCCAUCUCUACCUUCCUACCUACCUACCAAAACACUAAAAUUUUUGGACAACAACAGAAAGCUGGUUUCGGGUGCAAACGCAAGACAAGAUAAAUCGUUCAAUUUUUAGCGUUACAGAACAGGAGCCGAAUAAACGAAUCUCUAAGCUCCUGACAAUAUCGUUUGCCUCAGAUUGCUAGAGAUGAGAUUAAUAAACAGGUAAGCGAAAUGCUCGAAGAUGAUAUAAUCUCACCUAGCAAGUCACCAUGGAACUCACCUCUUUUGGUAGUCCCGAAAAAAUCCGGACCUGAUGAUCAAAAGAGAUGGCGAGUUCUGGUCGAUUUUCGUAAACUGAACGAGGCUACGACUAAAGACGUUUUUCCUCUGCCAUGAUUAGAAGAUAUUCUUGACCAGUUAGGAAAUUGCCGUUAUUUCUCAACCCUUGACCUGGCAAGCGGCUACCACCAAGUUCUAAUCGACAGCAAAGAUAGAGAAAAAACUGCUUUUAGCACAGGUUUGGGACAUUAUGAGUUUAAUCGGAUGCCUUUUGGUCUUACUGGAGCACCACCAACGUUCCAACGGAUAAUGAACUACAUUUUAACUGGUUUUCAAGGAAUUGACUGUUUUGUCUACUUGGAUGACAUCGUGAUCUUUAGCCCGAAUUUGCAUGAUCACAAUGAAAAGUUGAUGCGAGUUUUUGCGAAGCUCAAUACCGAAAAAUGUAAUUUUUUGUGUAAAGAAGUCGUUUAUUUAGGUCAUGUAUAUUCAGAGAACGGUGCCACCCCUGAUCCUUCUAAGACAAGUUUUGUUAAGAAUUUUCCUGUUCCGAAAAACAUCAAAGAAGUUCAAUCAUUUCUAGGUUUUGCUAACUAUCAUAGAAAAUUUAUACCUAUCUUUGACAAUUUGACAAUAAAAUUACUCGCAAUAAGUUUGAAGUAAGCAAUAUAAAUAUGCGAACCAAAUUGGAAAACAUUCACUUCACGUUCAAGAUACAAAUGGCUAAAAUUAGUUCUUUUAUGACCAUUUCAUACCAAAAACGUAGUAGGUUUGCAAACAAAUACUUACAAUUGAUAAAAUAUUUUCCAAAUAUUUGGGUCAUCAAUGCUCAAAACAGUCCAAAUGAGAAAAACCUUAUAAACCUGAUUCCAGGCCUGAAUGUUUUUUACUACUGGAAUAAAAUAAGAACCCCGAAUAAGGAGAAAUAUUUCAAAAAAAGUAAAGGGGACAUUUUCAACAAAAAAAAAUAGAGUUAUAGGCAAUAGCGGAUAAUAAGGGUAUGGACUGCCGCGUCGCGUCGGAGCCAUAUUGUACACUGGUAAACUAUUUGAAUUAUAACAAAAUCGCAGACAGUUUCCAAGAAGAUUUGACUACAUUUUAGUGAAAUGUUGUUCAAACGUGGGUCGUUACAUUUCAGAAUGUUUUUCUUUUCUUUAAAUCUUAUAAGAUUCUAAGCUUCCAACAUUCAAAAAGUUUGCUCUAAAAAAAUUAGAACCCGUAUCUUCCCAUUGUACCUGCUUGGGUACAGCUUAAUAAACAUAUUAGUUACUUUUUUUUUAAAUUAAAACUAGGUAAUACAUUGCGCAUCUUGUCACUCAUACAAACAAAGAAGAUCAAAAGUGAGUAACUGCCAAAUUCCAUGUGUGUAAUAAAAAAACUACUACUGCUACUAUAAUAAAAAAAAAAAUGUAAACAAGAGAAUUGAGCAAUAAGAACAACAGAAAAGUGACAGUUCCUCUCCUUUGAGCUCCGAUUUUGACAACCUGCGCGAACUUGAAAAAAAUGAAAACUCGGAAUAUAUUUCCUUGUAUAUGUGUACUGUGGGUCCAAACGAUAUAAGAUCAAUUGUGAACGAUUGUAUAACCGAACACCAUAAACAUAUCGUAGCCAAAGAUGACAUCUCGGCCAUAUCCAAGGAAAUACAAGAUCUUCGAUCACAAAAUGCUCAUCUGAUAGAGCGAGUCAUUACCGUUAAAAAUGACUGUGAGACACUUCCCUGCAAACCAAACCUCAGUAGUUUAGGGGAAAAUACAACCACCAACAAAGCUUAUUUUGAAGAUGUAUGUGUUUCCUUAUUUACCAAAAUCUCUCCCCUCCAAAAAUAGAAGUUUUGUUUCUCUUGAAAAAAUAAACUCUUCUUUGAUAAAUGGGAGGAAAAGAGCGCGAUGUAUGCAAUGCACAAAGUUUUGUCUCUUUUGUAAUUGCGGCUCGCGUUUGAUUUGACUUUUCCUACAUUUUAUAUUUUCUAGUGAAACCAGUAAAACCUUGAUAGCCACAGCCACAGCAACAUCAAAAAAAUGUUUCGCUGCUCCAUUUGAAGAAUAAAAAUAAAAACAAUUUAAUUUAAAAAAUAUAUAAUCUUCUCAGUGUUGAGUGUUAUUUGUGAAAACUAUUUUCUCUAAACAAUAUCUACCACACAAAUUCUUCGGCACGCCACAAAAAUUUAUUUCCACCAUCAAAAUGCACAGCCUCAGCCUUGUGCAUUUAGAAAAAAAAGUAAUACAAAAAUGAUACAAAAACAACCACCAAUUGAUUUAAAAAAUAAAGUGGCGAUCAAUUCCAGACAUCAUUGACUGAGUUUACAGCAGCUUCAGCCUUGAGCAUUUAGAAAAAAAAAAUCAAAACAAGAUACAAAAAGUACCACCAAAGUGCAGACUGCAGAGUAUUUUUUUCUUUUUCAUUUUUCUCAACUGGCCAGGCCACAAUGGCGUGCCCAAGGAUUUUUUUUAUGUAUUUUGUUUUCAAAAAAAAACUAUUUUGUGUUUUUCCAAUAAAAUAUUAAAUAAAAGUUGUUUAAAAGAAUUGUUUGUUUGUUUUGAAGAUUUUUUUUGUUUUCAGAUGAAAUUAAAAUAUGGAUUUUAGCAGUACGGAUAUAAACCCAUGAAAGUGCUCCAAAUAAGUACUUUAAAAGUACAAGUUUCAGUGCUUUUUCUGUAGGUAAAAAAGUACUGGAAAAUGUACAUCAGAACCACUUCCAGAAGUGCUUCGCUGAUGCACUUUUUGAAGUACAUUUGUCUGUACUAUUAAUGGAGGGGAAAUUUAUUUCUUCUUGCAUGCAAGAAAGAGAUAGCUGCUUCACGUAUUCUUAUAUACAGAAAGUAUAUAACUGAGUUUUUUCCCGAGCUCCUAUCUUUUUUCAGUGGAAAAGAAGUACUUCUUUUACGUACAUAUUUCACCGGUUUUUUCUGUAGCUCUGCGUUUGCUGGGUUGAGAGACAACUCGAAAUUUUAUAACAAAAGUGAAAUGAGAACAAUGUCGUUUUGCAUUUUCCUUCAGAUGAGAAGACAAACAAACUUGAAUUUGCUACACAAACCUGUUUAAGCCUUCUCAAUCUUCAAGAAAAUACGAAUUUUCCCUUAAAAGUAACCCACAAACCAAAACACGAAAAAAACAUUAAUACCAUGUGAUACAUUUGACACUUCACUUUUACACCUUCGGGUAAGGGUUCAAAAAUAUACCCGAGGUAGGUAUGCCUGUCGUAAGAGGCGACUAAAAUCCGUAUACUGACAUAUACAAAAAUAUGGAAUGAAUAAAUAAGAAAGAUUUGAUGAUUUUUUGGAAAAUCCACCCUCUUCGGAGGUCGGCUCUAUGGAUUCUGGGGAGAGCCAAUUAUUCCAAUUCGAACGCCUUAUUAAUUACUUUUCAAGAAAAAACUUGAUAGCUCGAUCACCACCACCAACAUCGAGUGCAACCGGGCAAAAGAGUCUGCCUAAACUGCCAGAGCGUGCAAAAAAAGACUCAGAGAAAAAAGAAAGUCUUGCAAAAGACAAUAACGAUCAUCGUCAAGGACUCGACGGAACAUUUAAACUCUAUCAUGAGUUGAAAGAAGAAAUCAAUUUUCUAAAAAAAGAAAACGAGGCCUUAAGACUGGGUUCCCUUUUUCAGCAAAGUCAAAUCUCAUGUAAAAGCAUUUGUGUGUAUUAGUGAAUGUGUUUCGCUCUCUCGCCAUCGAAUUCUCUGGUUUUUUUCUCUCAGGAUGUUGGUUAUGGUUUUCAUUCAUUGUCUCUUUGUGAGAUCGCCAUCGCACUCACGCUUGCGGGGUGACAUGCAAGUGGAUGUAGGUAUACAUAGAUCUUUAUAUAGAUAUGGUGUUUAGGACGAAAACUGGUUUGAAAUUCUAUAUUUUCAUGAAAGAUUUCUGGAGUGUAUACCUAUUUAUUUUUGAAAUGAAAAAGAAACUUGUUUCCAUGUUGCUGUUGUGGAUGGCAUUUGAGUUUUUUGUGUAUCAGAGAAAUUUUUUGCAUUAUAAUAAUAAUUAUAGUUGUUCAGCGGAGAAGCAGGUAGAGGAUGUGUUAUAUGGGUGCAUUGAUAUAAUAUACUUGACAGUAUCCUUUGUGUAGUUUGUAUAAAAAUAUGAGUAGAUGCGCAGAAGGAUUGAUUUUCAGGUUCUUGCUCACUUUUGAGUUGUUCUUCGUUGAGAAAUUUUUUGUCUCGCACUCGCGCGUGCCGGCUGACAUGGAAAUGUAUUUACAUACAAUAUAUAGAAUGUUAAGGUUCUUAUGUGUAUGUUGUUUGAGGAUGGACUCGAUAUCAAUCCAAUUUACUUUCAACACCUUUUUAAUAAAGAUUUUAUUAGAGUCACCAAUGCAAUGAACUCAGUUCGUAACUGAAUCGAUUUUGUUUUUUAUUUACCUAUACCUACAUUAUUAGGAAACAAAAAUAAGGCAGCAUUAAUAACUUAUAAGUUACUUUUUUUUAAACCUUGAAAUUAAUUUUUCAAUUAUGUACCUAAUCAAAGUUUAGGGAAGUUUUCAAAAAUAAUUUUCAAGCUCAACACUUUGAAAAAAAAUGAUCUAUUUUUUCAAACUGAUAUUUUAUUUAUAAAUUCAGAUAGGCAUUAGCUACUUUUUUGCUUCUGUUUCCUCAGUAGGUGUAAUUUUAAAAACUUUUUUUUGCUAAGGAAACAUACUGAGCAUCUUCACCUAUUCAAAACUAUUUCUAUAAAUACCAUCAAGUGCAUUCUAACCACAAAUACACUUAUAUAACCCUUUACCCAUUCCCCCGCGAAAAUAUUACUUUUAUACCUACAAACCUACAAAAAAAAAACCCGAAUCCGCAACAUAUAAACAAAGACAAUGAAAAACAAAAGGACAUAUUUAUAUUAUAUAACCCCGCACGCACGCGCGAGUGUAGUAUAAUAAACAAUACAACCCAGAAAUCAACCUAAAUAUGGAAAUAAAUCAUUGUGCACAUGUCAAAUGUCAAUACACAUUUUUACACACAAACAAAUGCAUACCACAUAUCUAAUCCUUUACCUAUAUCCCCGCACGAGCAAUGUGAAUAUUACACAAUGCAAAGAAUUUCGCUGACACAAAAAAAAAACCCAAAAGUGUCAACUCGCAAGCGCGGGUGCGCUAUUAUAAACACGAAAUGAAUUGUUAGGAAAAACCCAAGAGUCAACAAGAACAAAACAACCCUUUUUGAAAACCAAAGAUAAUGAUCUUGCAAAAAAUAUCUACUAUCUACCUACUCUCUGCAUCAUCUUCAUAAUUUCAUGAAUGAUUUCUGCCUGCCUGAGUGAGGAAAUAGGAAACAAAAAAAAAGUAUUAUGUAAACACAAAAAAAAAAAAAACAAAAUAUAACGAGAAAAUGAGAGCGCAAGAGCAGGUUUUUUUUUUCAAUAAAUAGAAAAGAACAGAAAAAAAAGAGUUCAUCAGCGCCAGCUUAUGCGUGGCAUUCUUUUGAACUAAAUUUGCAUGUGUGCGUGAUCAAUGGAAUUUUCAAAGUAAAAAAAGCUAAAAUAGACACUUUUUCAACAAUUUAUAUUAAAAAUACUGUGAGCAAAAAUAUAUAUUUUUUUUUUGAAACUGAUUUGAAAUAUAAUGAAAAAAAAUAAUAAAAAUAAAUUGUGGAUGCUUUGACUGCCCCUUCCUCAAAAACAGAAUGCAAAUAUUGGUUUAUUAAAAUCAAAUUUUUAGUGUGUAAAUAAAAAAAAUAUUUUUUUUUGGCAAACGGGUUGCAUGAACAACUUUAUUAACUUCUCAUUAAAAAAUACAAAAACAUUUUAAAAAAUAAUCACGCUUUGCCCCACGACUAAAAUGCUAAAAAAGUGCAUUUUGACACCUUUCCUUCAAAUUAACCGUUCAAACUAACUUCAAAUUAAAUUAUUGGAUUCUCCUAAUUUCACUUUAUUGUUUCCUUUUUGUUUCAUCUAAAAACACUAAUAAACGGUAAAGUUAUUCUAAGAAGAGUGAGUAAAAAAGCAUGAAAUUACAACAAAUUAACGAAGCUUUUUUUCUAAUAAAAAAAAAAAAAAAAAAAUCUGUUUCACGUGUUGCAUGAAAACACAUUUGAUCAUUAUAAAACAAAAAAAAAAAAAAUAAAAAGUUUAUAAACAACGGUGCCCCAACCACAAUUCUGAUUCAAUCUAAAUUUGCAGGAAAAAAAUCAUUUUCGACCCAUAUAAAAAUCGCACAAGAAAUGUUUCUAAAAUUUAAAUGAUGCAAAAAUAUUCGUACGUUUAUUACCUUUUCAAAAAAGUACGUUUCAUAAGAUUAUCUUAUAAACUGCAAAAGUUAUACAACAAUUAGUCAACCAUCUUCCAUUAAAAUGCUAUGGAAACCCCCCCUUAAGAGUGGGUGUCCCCGAAUGACGAACUCAGACUUCAUGUAAAUGAGUUUGUGUGUAUUAGUGACCUUUCUUCUCCAUACAUCUCUCACGUUCAACGUCAUCUCAACUCAGUUCUCUCUCGGUAUCUUUAUUUGCAUUCUCUUUCCCUUUCUAGAGAACCAAAGUCAUAAAAUUAAAGUCUAUUUAGGUAGAAAAAACAAAUCAGCAUCAAGGAAAUAGCAAAAAAAGGGUUGCAAGCCUUGCAAGUGUAUAUUGCGGUUUUGCUUUGCGCAACAGACUGCCUGUCUUUCCAAAUUUUGUUUUCAUAGAAAAAAAUAUAUCCAUACAGUUGCUCAGAAGAAUACCUAACAUGCAACAUCAUAAAUUUAUGAAAGAGAUAAAUAAACCAGUUUAAAAAAAAAAAAAACAAGAAUACAAAAAAAAACUCGUUUAUCCUAUUCCAUAUACCUACCACGCAACACCAGAUACCAUACAUUGCAAACGUGCGAGAGAUCCAUUUCCUGUAUCCUCUCAUUUUCGCGAAAAAAAUACAACAACACUUUGCAUGCACUUAGCCUGGCGCCAAUCCUUUUUUAUGGAAAAACCUAUGUACAAACAAUAUGUAGAAUGCAGAUACCUAAGUUCAUCUUAUUCUUUAUACCACCAAACAACCACUCGACAGAGCGAGUGCGAGAGAUCAUGUAGAAACAAAAUAGAAGAUAAUAAAGAGAGAGAGACAACUAGCGCCAGCGGAAUUUGUUUGAACUACAAAUUCCAAUACAUACGCAUUCCAUGAAUUUCUGAGGAAAAAAUGGAAAGUAGGCUCUUUUUCAAAAAUUAAUUGUAAGAAAACUAUUAUAGCAAUUCUUAUUUUCUAACUUGAUAUUGAUAGAAAAAAUAAUGAAAAAAAAUAAAAAAAAUAUAACAAAAAAUCUAAAAAUUCAGGUUUCAUAGUACAGUUUAUUGUUUUUGGGACUACUUAAAAAGCGAUUGGAGGGUUACAAAAUAAUAUUUUCCAAUAAAAUAUAGUUUUACUCCAUAGUCCAUAAACUAAGCUUUUAAAUAAAAUAAAAAUCAAAUUCAUACUUUGAAAAACAAAGAAAUUAAACCACUUUUUUUUUAAAGUUAAGAAAAAAUGACUUUUUAGUAUUUUUUUGUUGUUUAAGACCUUAAAACUUAAUAUAAAUUUCUUAAACUAAUCAAUGUGUUAGUGUUUGAGUAGAGGUACUUAUUUCUUUUUAUUUCGAUGAAUUUUAUCAAUAAUUGCAGAAGUUAUUCAUGUUCAAGCAGGUGGCCAUGGCACAGAGGAAUAGGUGGAUGACUUCAGGGCCAGACAUCGUGGGUUCAAACCCAGCGGUCGGCUCAGAAGUUUUUUCUAAAUCGCCAGCUUAACUGAAGCCACCUGUGCGAUAACAUGAGACAAUUGUCAACGAUGUCUCCCCUCUGUGCCACGUAGUUAUGUGUUAUAUGUGUUUCUGUUGUUCUUUCUA